GUAAUGUUCAUGUCCUUUCUACUGCUGCAGCAACAGCAGAGAAUGCGACUGGAGAGUUAUUUGUUCUGGUUGGACCACUGACAUGCAAAUAUGAAGCAAACUUGAACUUACAAGUGAGGCUGAUGCAUAUUAAGCAAGGGCUGUGCUCAUGGUGCUUUUAACAUGGGAAAAUGUAAACAACCGUGAAUGACUCGAGUACGUUUCUGGCAGAACCUUGAGAUGGGGUGAAACAAAGGACAGUGCUGGUGGGCAAGUAAACAAGAUUCCCUGCUCACAGAAGCUAGCUUUCUACUGGGAGCACGGUCUGCACUGACGAUGACACCUCACUGUACGGUAUACUAGAAUGAGGCAAGUGCUACGGAACAAACCCAGCUACCUCUCCUCUGGCUGCCAUGUGGAAAACAGACUAUAGAGGGCCAAGAAUAAAAGCAGGACAGAUCCAGUAACGACUAGAAAAACCCAGUGAGGAAUGACAGUAGCAUGGAUCGGUGGUAGCAAGAAAGGUGAGAAGUUGUUGCGUUCUGGAUAUAUUCUGGAGAGUGCCCGGGACUCACUGCCGAGGGUGGAUGAAGAAGAAUCAAGAAUGAGCCAAGUGUUGGGCUCAGUCCCCGGGGUGAUGGGUAACACAGUGGAGGGGGCUCGGAGGGGUGUCCAUCUGAGGUGUAAGAGCUCCCAACGAGCCAGCCAACCUGGGUCAGUCUGGUGUUCAGGGAGAGGACAUUGAAAAAGACAUCUGGACCGCAUGAUAACAUGUAUCAAAUACACUGUUCUCAAAUUAACAGAUUCUUCCCUGGAAUUUGUUACUCUCUGCCUUCUACCUCCUACAAGUGCUUUUAGUACUCAUCACAAGUUUUUUAGAAGGUACAAUUCUCCAGACAUGAGCAGUCCCAAGCGCACCUGAAGAGGGAGGCAGACUGCAGGGGAAGUGUUUGGAAGUGAAGGGGUAUCGCUGGCUGUCAGGUGUGCAAGGCCUGCAUGUGGCGGGGUGCUGUUACAGAGGUGAGACACUAUCCUGGGCAUUGGGAGAAAACAGACACAGGCGAGAACUUCAGCCGGCCUGGCGGGAAAUUCCAUGGUAGGGAAGACAACACCUGACUAAGAGGGGACUUCAAAAAGUUUGUGAAAAUGGAGUUAUUUAGUUUGGUGCAAAAUUUUUUGAAAUCCAUGUGUAGUUUUUUCAUAACAUGCACUUUCCAUGAAUCCAAAUGUAUGGAUUUCAAUUUUUGGGGGGCACCAAGAAAACUUUUCAUUCUCUUUUCAACAGACUUGUAGAAGUACCCUUGUACGACCCCCUGGUGUGAGGGAGAGAAGACGUGCAGAGAAAAGGAAAUGAAUGUUGGACACCGCUCUUCAGCCUUCUUGGGGAACCUCCUGAUUAUUUCUUUCAGCUCUUGACUGAGUCUCUCCUGGGAUAAGGCUCCAAGGGCCUUCAUUGGCUUUGACCGUGAACCCUUCACCAUGUCCACCACAUAAAUACUUGGGCAAAGAUGACUGCUGGAACACAGCCCUGUGGGAUGUCAAAGAUUGGUUCCAGAAAGCGUGGUGACAUGGAGCAAAGGGGAGUUCUUAAGAAAUUCAAGUCUCAGCUGUGUUUUCAGGGCACCAAAAUGUUGUGUUGUGCCUUUUUU